rnacentral:rRNA from 1 species
AGGUGUUGGUGGUAUCAACCCCACCAGUGCCGAAGCUAACGCAUUAAGUGUCCCGCCUGGGGAGUACGGCCGCAAGGCUAAAACUCAAAGGAAUUGACGGGGCCCCGCACAAGCAGCGGAGCGUGGGGUUUAAUUCGAUGCAACGCGAAGAACCUUACCAAGGCUUGACAUGACCAGGAAUCCGGCGGAAACGUCGGCGCCCCGCAAGGGGCCUGGCCACAGGUGUUGCAUGGCUGUCGU